GGGGUUGUGGCUCAGUGGUAGAGCACUCGCCUCGCAUGUGCGGGACCCAGGUUCAAUCCUCAGCACCA
rfam:Ictidomys tridecemlineatus contig111648, whole genome shotgun sequence.